rnacentral:tRNA from 1 species
GGAUUGUGGCUCAGUGGUAGAGUGCCUGCCUAGCAUGCAUGAGGCACUGGGUUUGAUUCUCAGCACCA